UAGAUAAAUCAUCCUUGGGGUCUUGGCAUUUCUUUUGGAGGUGACCUGGCUUGUGGGGGCUUAAUGGCCUCACAGGACACUACCUGCGGGAACCACAGCAGUCCCUGUGGAUAUGACUGUCCCCCACUCCCAGGAGAAAGUGAUAGGACAAGAGGAAAUGGCCUCAACUUGUGCCAGGGAAGAUUCAGAUUCGAAAUUAGGAAAAACUUCUUCAUGGAAAAGCUUGUGAAGCAGUGGAACAGGCUGCCAGGGAGGUGGUUGGGUCACCAUUCCUGAAGGUGUUUAAAGAUGCAUAGAUAUGGUUCUUAGGGACAUGCCAGAGUAGGUUAAUGGUUGGACUUGAUAAUCUUCAGGGUCUCUUCCAGCCUCAAUGAUUCUAUGAUUCUAUGCUCUGAUGCUGAGGUGGAAUGUUGACUCUUACCCAUCCCUGUUUAUCCAGCGGCAAAGCAAUUAAUUUUCCAAGGGACAUAGUCUAUUGAACACUUCUUUAAAUUAAGGGCACCAGAGGUAUAAUUUAGAUUAGGGUUAAGUUCCAGCUGUAGGGGAGACAUUUAAAAACAUGCAGCGCGUGUGCUAACAAACCCACUCAUCUCACCAGAAAGUGAGUAAAUCUGCCUUAUCAGUGGAGAAUUUCCUCCUAAACCUGGGGACUGUUCCAGGUUUUGCUGGGGCACGGAGCUUUUCUGUUGUGAGAGGAAGAAGGAACCGUGGCCUGAUGGCGAUGGGUGCAGUAGCUGAGGGGAGCUGAUUCCUUGGGCACUGGGUAGUGAAUGAACAAGGUCUCACAACCCAAAUGCACAGGGGUGCAGUGGAGAUCCCUGGGCAGACAGGGCAGGGGGCAUUUUCUCUGGACAUCCCUUUUAUUCCCAGGAAACCUGCACGAUGUGCUUUUCAAGUCCCAGUUCCAGAAGUACAACUAAACACGUGCUGAACUUUGGUCGUGUGAGUGUUGGCAUUAAUAAGUUACAAGCUGACCUGAGCACUCUGCAGGAGCUGAAGGCAGCCUGGGGGAAUUUCCCUGCUUCUCAGGAAGGGGCACCUCAUUACACCCCAUCCCAUUCUCAUCAGCUUCAUUAACUCAGGCAGCCUCUCCAGCUCGGAUGCCAAAACGCCUCUUGUAGUCACGUUAGUUCAGCUCUGUUCUGAUGCAACCGGCCCUCCAGCUGCCGAAAUGCCGCUGUGCGGGAACGCCAGCUUGGUGUAGGCACAGGGCCUGCAGGAGCAGAGCUGCUGUGUCCCCAUUUUCCUGGGGAAGCAGGGAGGUGUCAUGGGAGGGGCACGGAGAAGAGAGGUCAGUAACUUUGCCACCAACCCACCAAGAACUCUUUCCCCUUUUGCUGUAUUCUUUAUAGUGCAAGAUAAAGGCCUUUUGCUUUAUCUGGUUUCUUGCUUUAACUACUGCCCCAAAGUCUCUUCUUAGUUGGUGGCUUUGGGUGCAACUGCUUUGUUUCUGCAACUUGGACAUUACUGGGAAUCUUCUGUCCACUGAGCUCAGUGUGAGUCCUGCUUAUAAAGCACAAGCAUACUUUACCAGAGCUGCUGAAGCUUCACUGUGAGGUGCAAAACUCAAAGAAAGAAGUGAUGCUGUUCAGAUAUCAUGGUUUCUACUCCUUGUUUUUUGUGGGUGGUUUUUGUUUUGUUUUGUUUUUUUAAAGUAGGAAUUUUGCACUUUUCCUUAGCAAAAACUUAUUUCUGAACAAAACUUAUUUGGAGAUGUGCUUCUUGAUGGUGGGCUCUUUAGUUGUAAGCAUACAGCUGCCUCCUUACCAUCCCUGUCCCUUAUGGACACCCUUCAGCAGCCUCCUCACAGUACAUCUCCUGGUGCUCAUUCCCAGACCGUUGCUCUCCGGGCCAGGGCGCCCAGCGCUGCCAUCUCGGCAGUGGAGCACCUGUAUGCCAGGGCUCCUUCACAGACCCUGGCGCCAUCUCGCAGGACUAAUCUUUUCCCUCGGAUUGAUGAGACCGCAUCUGGAAUAUUGUGUCCAGUUCUGGGCCCCUCAGUUCAAGGCCAUGGAACUGCUGGAGAGAGUCCAGCGUAGGGCAACAAAGAUGAUUAAGGGAGUGGAGCAUCUCCCUUAUGAGGAAAGGCUGAGGGAGCUGGGUCUCUUUAGCUUGGAGGAGACUGAGGGGUGACCUCAUUAAUGUUUAUAAAUAUGUGAAGGGUGAGUGUCAUGAGGAUGGAGCCAGGCUCUUCCUGGUGACAACCAAUGAUAGGACAAGAGGUAACGGGUUCAAACUGGAGCACAGGAGGUUCCAUUUAAAUUUGAGAAGAAACUUCUUCUCAGUGGGGGUGCCAGAGCACUGGAACAGGCUGCCCAGGGGGGUUGUGGAGUCUCCUUCUCUGGAGACAUUCGAAACCCGCCUGGACACAUUCCUGUGUAACCUCAUCUAGGUGUUCCUGCUCUGGCAGGGGGAUUGGACUAGAUGAUCUUCUGAGGUCCCUUCCAAUCCCUCACAUUGUGUGAUUUCCAUGAUUUUUGUGACCUUACCUGUAUUUCUUUGCUUUACGUUGUGUUGGCCACGUUGUCUGAGCAAAACCCACCUUGCGGCUGUUUCCAUGUGUGGCGAGCAGUGCCGGUGGGGAGGUGCAAGGCAGCUGAGGGCAGGCAGGACAAGGACUGCACAAGCCGGUGUGCCACGUACAGUUCAUCCCGUCAUGAGCUAGACGUUGAACAACACGUCUAAAUCGUGCUCUGGAACAAAGUAAAGGGAUUCAUGCCGGGUACACUGUGUUACAUCAUUUCAGCAUUCGUUAACAGAAGGGCUGAGGCUUCAGCUAUCAUGUCACGUUUUUGGCAGAAACCUCUAAGUCUCAGCGACUUCCUCCAAGGAUGCUGAACCAAACGCCGUCCAGACUCGCGAGGGAACGAGCUGCAAAUGACAUCACUGGUUUGAAACAGCGCAUGGGCACAACGUGGGCGAAUGUUCCCUGAGCUGGGUGUUUUCUAAAGGUCUCUGAAGCAUGAGGCAUGACUGAAUGACUUGUAUUUUCUUUAAAUGACGAGUGGGUGAAUCCUGAAUUGUUGGGCUGCUUUUAUUUUUGUUAGAUGUGUGUGGGCUGACAACAUGACUCAGUAUUUUCUCCGCAGAUGCAAAGAUCAUGUUGCCAAUUCUGGGUAUACUUUGGGCAGUUUCAUGCUGGGAACUGGAACACUGUUUUAGUCCAGAGCUUUGCUUUUUGGCAGCCUCUCCAUUGCUCCUGGGCUGCCUCUUUGUCUGCUGAGUAUCACCUCUAGUAUUUGUUUAACCAGCCGUGUCCUGCUGGGUGAGAGCCACCAAGCCACCAUCCUCUGACUGAUGCAACUUUCUUCUAUGUCAACUGAAAACUUCCUCAUCCGUUCCAGUAACCCCGGUCUCGCCCUGAAGAGAACAAAGUCUCCUCUCCACAUAAUGCAUGUUAAGCGGCCGCACCUCCAUCUCUUAUGGGAAUACCCAACCAUGUGCUUUACCGCAGCAAUUCAGGGUUUUGCCAUUUGCAGACACCUCCUUAAAUACAACAUGUGUGUAUUUUUAUGGCCACUUUGGAUAAAGUUACCACUGCAGCUGGUAGCUGCAACUUCAAGAUAAAGCUCGCCACGUGACAACCUGAGAAACAGCAAAGUAAGGAGCAAAGAAUUGUUGAUUUUCAGACUCCAGAGUGGCUACAUAUACCAACGCUUCUUUACAAUAAACAGAAUAAUGACUUUAACUUGAACAGUUGCCCCUUAGCAGUUGUUACAUUACUUGUAAUUGUUUGCACAAAAGCUUGCAGGCUCUACCAUUAAUAUGCAUCUUCCUGGGUGUGCUUUUGAAUCAGAUUAAUAAAGGAAACCAAUAUUUUUCAUGAGAAA